ensembl:lncRNA
GGAAUCUUUUUUUGUCUUCAAUCCCAGUGCUAGGUAUCAUUUUUUUGUCUUCAAUCCCAGUGCUAGGUAUAAUUUUUUUGUCUUCAAUCCCAGUGCUAGGCACUCGUUUUCUUUUUUCAAUCCCAGUGCUAGGAAUUUUCUUCUUCAAUCCCAGUGCUAGGUAUCAUUUUUUCAUCUUCAAUCCCAGUGCUAGGUAUCAUUUUUUUUGUCUUCAAUCCCAGUGCUAGGUAUCAUUUUUCUGUCUUCAAUCCCAGUGCUAGGUAUCAUUUUUCUGUCUUCAAUCCCAGUGCUAGGUAUCAUUUUUCUGUCUUCAAUCCCAGUGCUAGGUAUCAGUUUUCUGUCUUCAAUCCCAGUGCUAGGUAUCAGUUUUCUGUCUUCAAUCCCAGUGCUAGGUAUCAGUUUUCUGUCUUCAAUCCCAGUGCUAGGUAUCAGUUUUCUGUCUUCAAUCCCAGUGCUAGGCACUCGUUUUUUUUCUGGUUUUUUUCUUCUGUUUUUGUUUUUUUUCUCUUCCCUAUGCCACAUGUGCUCCCUCUCCGGCCCCUAGAUCACCAGGCUGCUCAUUAUGGCGCACACCUGUCACCAUCGUUACACGCAUCAGACUCACCUGGACUCCAUCACUUCCCUGAUUACCUUCCCUAUAUAUGUCACUCCCUUUGGUUCCUUCCCCAGGCGUUAUUGUUUCUGUUUCAUGUCUGUGCGUUGUUCGUGUUUCUUGUUUUGUGUUAUGUUUCGUUUAGUUAUUUAAACACUCACUGUAUUGUGUGUGUAUUGUUUUUUUUGUGUCAGGUGGAAUGACGUUGGGUUUGGGAGUUGCUACAGGCUUUCAUGUCUCAGCCAGAUCACCAGGCCCCUUUGCCUCUGCCGGCUCAUCAGGCUCUCAAGCCUCAGCCGGAUCGCCAGGCUCCCCUGCCUCAGCCAGCUCGUCGGGCUUUCAUGCCUUCGUCGGUUCGCUAGGCUCCCCUGUGUCCACCGGCUCGUCAGGCUUCAACCGAUCUUUCAGGUUCCCGUGUCCCAGCCGGCGACAGGUUCCGAUGCAUCAGCAGGGGUGACCGGUCCACUCCUGAUCCCCGGGAUCGUCCCUUGGGUUGUCGGCCUGCGGCUGGAGCCUAACGCGCCGGCAAGGGGUACUGUCAGGUAUGCUCUCUCUCUGGCGCUCUAGGUCGCCAUGCUCCUGCGUCUCAGCCGGAUUGACAGGUUUCCCGCGCCUCUGCUCCUGAUCCCCGGGAUUGUCAUUUUGGUUGGCGUCCUGCAGCUGGAGCCGUGCGCCAGGGAGGGGAUACUCUAGGUCACCAGGCCGUCACCAUCGUUAUGUGCACCUGC